rnacentral:rRNA from 1 species
CUACGUGCCAGCAGCCGCGGUCAUACGUAGGAUCCGAGCGUUAUCCGGAGUGACCGGGCGUAAAGAGUUGCGUAGGUGGUUCAAUAAGCGAAUAGUGAAAGCUGGUGGCUCAACCAUUCAGACUAUUAUUNGAACUGUUGAACUCGAGAGCAGAAGAGGUAGCUGGAAUUUCUAGUGUAGGAGUGAAAUCCGUAGAUAUUAGAAGGAACACCGAUGGCGUAGGCAGGCUACUGGGCUGUUUCUGACACUGAGGCACGAAAGCGUGGGGAGCGAACCGGAUUAGAUACCCGGGUAGUCCACGCCGUAAACGAUGGAUACUAGCUGUUUGGGGUAUCGACCCCCUGAGUAGCGAAGCUAACGCGUUAAGUAUCCCGCCUGUGGAGUACGAUCGCAAGAUUAAAACAUAAAGGAAUUGACGGGGACCCGCACAAGCGGUGGAUCAUGUUCUUUAAUUCGAUGAUAACCGAUAAACCUUACCAGGUCUUGAC